rnacentral:rRNA from 1 species
UACGGAGGGAGCUAGCGUUGUUCGGAAUUACUGGGCGUAAAGCGCACGUAGGCGGCUUUCUAAGUCAGGGGUGAAAUCCCGGGGCUCAACCCCGGAACUGCCCUUGAAACUGGAUGGCUAGAAUCCUGGAGAGGCGAGUGGAAUUCCGAGUGUAGAGGUGAAAUUCGUAGAUAUUCGGAAGAACACCAGUGGCGAAGGCGACUUACUGGACACAUAUUGACGCUGAGGUGCGAAAGCGUGGGGAGCAAACAGG